AAGAAAAAAGAAAGGGAGGGGGGAAGAGAGAGAGAAAGAAAAAGCCCCAGUGUAGGCAGUCCUACUUGGAGUCCUGAUGUCACAGCCACAUGACUCGCUCGCUCCAGUAACAGUGCUUGCAAAAAAAAAAAAGGAGUUUUAAAGCUUUUGCUUUUUUGGAUUGUGUGAAUGCUUCAUUCGCCUCACAAACAACCACAGAACCACAAGUGCGGUGCAAACUUUCUCCAGGAGGACAGCAAAGAAGUCUCUGGUUUUUAAAUGGUUAAUCUCCGCAGGUCACUACCAGCCACUGAGACCAACAGAGUCAUUUGAGGAUCCAAGUAUUUACACCAGAAGGUGAAAUCUCUGAGUGAACCGAGAGGGACUAUGGCAUCAAACAGCCUGUUCAGUUCAGUAACACCAUGUCAGCAAAACUUCUUUUGGGGUAAGUACUGCAAUAUUUGAGUUUCUGUUUUCCAUUGUCAGUAGUUUUCUUACUUUUAAUAAUGGUGGUUACAGUUAUCUAAGCAGAAACCUGCUGAAUGGGAUGUGAAGGUGUUAAAAUAGCUUACUUGGUUUUCUGGGGGGGGAGAAGGGAGAAGUCACCGUAAACUUCUGCAGAUUUAUAGACAAAUUUGUUAGCUGACAAGCUGAGCAAAAUGAAGUCCUUAGUGUUUGACAGCAGGUGUGCUCAGCUGUCACUUGGGCCAAGGUGUAGCUACACAAAUUCAGAAGAGUCUAAUGAGAUCUAGUCUAAUGCUUAAUAUUAUCUUAGGGAAAAGAUAAGUACUUUGUGAAUUUACCAACAACAGCACGGAGUAGCUUAUUCAGAACUCUGGUGUAAAGCCUAACACUUACAGAUGUACCCACCAUGACUGGUUAACGGAAGAUACUGAAAGAGGCUAAAAUUAUAAGACUUAAGACUGCUUAUUCUUUAACCCUGAUGACAAUGAGUAGCAUAUAGCAGCCUGUCCUACUCAUAACUGCCCAUCUUUGUUGCAGACAUCUUAUUUUUAAGCAUAUAUAUCACCUGAAUUUAUCUGUGUACAUCUGCAGUUCUCUGGUCUUUUGUUGCCCUCAUUGCACAGCAAAGCCUGUGAUAAUAUAUUCGUUUGUAAAAGCAAAUUCUUAUUACACUUAUUAUGAAGAAGGCAAAACAUUCAUGCAUAAAAAUAUUAAGCUAUGAAAUCAAAAAUACAUGAUUUAACAUGCUGAUGAAUUUAAGCUUUAAUUGAAAGUGGUAUUUUAAAAACUUUGUAGAAAAGCAUUGCCAAAUAUUUACCUCUAUAUUCUGAAUGGUAAAAGCAGAUUCCUUUAAGAAAUCGUAUAAAUAUUCUAAGGCAAUUAUUUAUAUGCAAUGCAUACAUGCAUGCCUAUAAAAAUCAUAAAUACGCUAUGAAGUUGCACCUCUAUCAUUACUUUGAAAAGCUUCUUCCUCUCAAGCACAGUCUUAAAAACCAGUAUAAAGCACCUCACGGAACAUUAAAUAAAACUGAAUAUGACUAAGUAAUUUAUCUGCAAGUAUAAGCAAGUUUUAUUUUAAAGCGUGUUGGAAAAUGCUGUAUUCUAGUCAUCCUUGAUGAGCAGUAAGAAGUAUAUUCAAUUUAUAUUCAAUUUUUUACCAAAGCAUCUUUUACUGAGACAUCAGAAAAACUGACUGAAAAUUCUGAAAGAUAAGACAGUAAAAUUCAGAAAACUUACAAGAUUUUCUUAAUGGUGUCCGUCAUGUUGAAACCAUUUUGGGACUGCAGCUAAACCUAUUUCUUUUCCUCCCCUACCCCCCUUCUACAAAAAAAAAAAACAAUACUAGAACCAUUUUCAGUAUAUGCAUCCCUAUUAAGCUUGUAUUGUAAUGAAAUGAUGACUGGAUUUCCUUUUAACCCUCCUACUUCAUACGCUUUGACUGGUUCCCAGUUAAACCCAUGAAUAAGCUGUAACAGUGUGUGUAUGAAAAGAAAUACAGAAUAGUGUGGGACAGCUUCUUCCAGGAGAGAGACCAGUUUUAACUUAGGAUCUAUAGAGAGCAGAAGAGAUAACAUAAUGUGUGGCUGGUCAUGUAGCUAUAACACACCGAACAUUGAGCUGAAAUACUAACACAAAGAUGGUAAGUAGCUUUUCUACCAAAACUGCCGUCUUAAUGAAGCACAGCAGAAGCGUAGCCAGACCACAUUAUCCCUGUGUUUACAACAGGAAAUACAAUUUACAUGUAUAGGGACUUUCUUUUGCUUUUACUUCCAAAAGAGAUUAGAAGAAAUUUAGUUGGCUAAAACUAUCAAAACAUGGAGUGCUGACUGCUUAAUUCAUCUACUUUUUGAUCAUUCCUAAAGCCAGGGAGAAGUUCUGUAGCAUGAAUACUACUUUUCCCUAAAAUUCACUAAAUAGGUUUGAGCACAGAAAUUUCACUUUGGACACAAAGAAUGGGUGUGAGGGACUAUAAAUCUCAGCAGCUCUAUCAAUACGUAAGCAAUGUAUCUUUAGCUAAAACCAAAGCUAAAAAAACCCAACCUUCAUAAAAAUGAGACAGAAUAUAUUUUUAAAAGAACAAAAGUGAGAAGACCCAAGUUACUUGUAAAUUUGCCAUUUCCUACCAAUUGUAUGUAAGAACACACAAUCUGUUCAUCCUUUUUGUACUGCCUCUAUCUCCUUCUACUCACAUCUCCACGUUAUUCCUUUCAGGACUGUUUAACUUAAUUAUGUUUCUCUUCAAGAAUUAACUUAUGAAACAUAAUAACAAGUCAUAAUAGGGAAGGAAAACAAUGCUAAGAUGACUAACUAGCAUGGUUACUAAUCUAUG